CCAUCCCCCAGCUCUGUGCUGUCGGCUGGAGGAGCUCGGCGAGGCCCUGAGGCAGCAGCACGGCCUGGAGGGGUUCAGCUCGGCCCUGCUGCCCGCACAGGAGCCGGUGGUGGUGCUGGGGCAGAUCUGCUGCGAUGGGAACGGGAAGCUCAAUCCCAAAUCCGUGCUGCUGGGGGGGGACCGGGAGCACUCGGGGGGGGCUCAGGUGCCCCUCGACCUCUCGGAGCUCCGGGAAUAUUCCCUCUUCCCUGGCCAGGUGUUGGCCCUGGAGGGCUCCAACAGCUCCGGCAGCCGGAUCGUGGUGUCCAAACUCUACGAGGGGGUUCCACUGCCCUUCCACAGCCCCACAGAGCCACCCUCGGG